GACGAACGCUGGCGGCGUGCUUAACACAUGCAAGUCGAACGAAAAGACGGAAAGAGCUCGCUCUUUUCAGAAUUGAGUGGCAAACGGGUGAGUAACACGUAAACAACCUGCCUUCAGGAUGGGGACAACAGACGGAAACGACUGCUAAUACCGAAUAAGUUCCAAGGGCCGCAUGGCCCAUGGAAGAAAAGGUGGCCUCUACCUGUAAGCUAUCGCCUGAAGAGGGGUUUGCGUCUGAUUAGCUGGUUGGAGGGGUAACGGCCCACCAAGGCGACGAUCAGUAGCCGGUCUGAGAGGAUGAACGGCCACACUGGAACUGAGACACGGUCCAGACUCCUACGGGAGGCAGCAGUGGGGAAUCUUCCGCAAUGGGCGAAAGCCUGACGGAGCAACGCCGCGUGAGUGAUGACGGCCUUCGGGUUGUAAAACUCUGUGAUCCGGGACGAAAAGGCAGAGUGCGAAGAACAAACUGCAUGACGGUAC
rnacentral:rRNA from 1 species